rnacentral:rRNA from 1 species
ACGAACGCUGGCGGCAUGCCUAACACAUGCAAGUCGAACGGGCUGUAGCAAUACAGCCAGUGGCGAACGGGUGAAUAACGCGUGGGAACCUGCCUCGGAGUUCGGAAUAACCGCGGGAAACUGCGGCUAAUACCGGAUACGGCCUGAGGGCGAAAGGAGCAAUCCGCUCCGGGAGGGGCCCGCGUCCGAUUAGCUAGUUGGUGGGGUAACGGCCUACCAAGGCGAUGAUCGGUAGCUGGUCUGAGAGGAUGAUCAGCCACACUGGAACUGCGACACGGCCCAGACUCCUACGGGAGGCAGCAGUGGGGAAUCUUGCGCAAUGGGCGAAAGCCUGACGCAGCGACGCCGCGUGAGGGAUGACGGCCUUCGGGUU